rnacentral:rRNA from 1 species
AAUUGGAUUAUGGGAAAGGGAGAAAGGUUAAUAUUCCUUUACUAUUCAAGUAUGCGUGGCGACACAAGCUUCAUUCCCGACAUUUCCGAUUAAGCUAACACAAAUCUUCGUUUGUGUCAACCGGAAUGAAUCAGAGGAGUAUUAUAAUAAUGAGAAUCUGAUUAAAUCUGGGAUGAGUAUCCUCAUGGGAUAUUUAGCUGAUAUCCGGAAUCCGUGAAAAGGGAAUAGAGAAAGAACUUGAAUAUUCGUACCAAGAACCAGCACAGGUGCCCCAAGGUGAGAAGCCUAAAGUGUGAAGGAUUAAUCUAAUUGAGGGAAUUCGGCAAAUUAGCCCCGUACCUUCGGUAUAAGGGGUCCCUGCAAUUGUUGCUAAGCAAUUGAUUGCAGGGUGCAAUGACUAAGGGGGUCCGACUGUUUAACAAAAACUUAACUGACUGCCAGCCUGUAAAGGUGUGUAUAGUCAGUGACACCUGCCCAGUGUCUGUACUUUAAACUUCCGUCCA